rnacentral:rRNA from 1 species
GACAGAGGAGCCAAGCGUUGUCCGGAUUGACUGGGCGUAAAGCGCACGCAGGUGGUCGCGCAAGUGCUGUGUGAAAGCCGGUGGCUUAACUGCCGGAGGCCAUGGCAGACUGCGUAACUCGAGUCCGAGAGAGGUCCGUGGAAUUGCCGGUGUAGUGGUGAAAUGCGUAGAGAUCGGCAGGAACACCCAAGGAGAAAUCAGCGGACUGGCUCGGUGCUGACACUGAGGUGCGAAAGCGUGGGGAGCGAACAGG